rnacentral:rRNA from 1 species
GACGAACGCUGGCGGCGUGCUUAACACAUGCAAGUCGAACGGAAAGGCCCUGCUUUUGUGGGGUGCUCGAGUGGCGAACGGGUGAGUAACACGUGAGUAACCUGCCCUUGACUUUGGGAUAACUUCAGGAAACUGGGGCUAAUACCGGAUAGGAGCUCCUGCUGCAUGGUGGGGGUUGGAAAGUUUCGGCGGUUGGGGAUGGACUCGCGGCUUAUCAGCUUGUUGGUGGGGUAGUGGCUUACCAAGGCUUUGACGGGUAGCCGGCCUGAGAGGGUGACCGGCCACAUUGGGACUGAGAUACGGCCCAGACCCCUACGGGAGGCAGCAGUGGGGAAUAUUGCACAAUGGGCGGAAGCCUGAUGCAGCAACGCCGCGUGCGGGAUGACGGCCUUCGGGUUGUAAACCGCUUUCGCCUGUGACGAAGCGUGAGUGACGGUAAUGGGUAAAGAAGCACCGGCUAACUACGUGCCAGCAGCCGCGGUGAUACGUAGGGUGCGAGCGUUGUCCGGAUUUAUUGGGCGUAAAGGGCUCGUAGGUGGUUGAUCGCGUCGGAAGUGUAAUCUUGGGGCUUAACCCUGAGCGUGCUUUCGAUACGGGUUGACUUGAGGAAGGUAGGGGAGAAUGGAAUUCCUGGUGGAGCGGUGGAAUGCGCAGAUAUCAGGAGGAACACCAGUGGCGAAGGCGGUUCUCUGGGCCUUUCCUGACGCUGAGGAGCGAAAGCGUGGGGAGCGAACAGGCUUAGAUACCCUGGUAGUCCACGCUGUAAACGGUGGGUACUAGGUGUGGGGUCCAUUCCACGGGUUCCGUGCCGUAGCUAACGCUUUAAGUACCCCGCCUGGGGAGUACGGCCGCAAGGCUAAAACUCAAAGGAAUUGACGGGGCCCCGCACAAGCGGCGGAGCAUGCGGAUUAAUUCGAUGCAACGCGUAGAACCUUACCUGGGUUUGACAUGGAUCGGGAGCGCUCAGAGAUGGGUGUGCCUCUUUUGGGGUCGGUUCACAGGUGGUGCAUGGCUGUCGUCAGCUCGUGUCGUGAGAUGUUGGGUUAAGUCCCGCAACGAGCGCAACCCUUGUUCACUGUUGCCAGCACGUUAUGGUGGGGACUCAGUGGAGACCGCCGGGGUCAACUCGGAGGAAGGUGGGGAUGACGUCAAGUCAUCAUGCCCCUUAUGUCCAGGGCUUCACGCAUGCUACAAUGGCUGGUACAGAGAGUGGCGAGCCUGUGAGGGUGAGCGAAUCUCGGAAAGCCGGUCUCAGUUCGGAUUGGGGUCUGCAACUCGACCUCAUGAAGUCGGAGUCGCUAGUAAUCGCAGAUCAGCAACGCUGCGGUGAAUACGUUCCCGGGGCU